rnacentral:rRNA from 1 species
UACAGAGACUGCAAGCGUUAUUCGGAUUUACUGGGCGUAAAGAGCGCGCAGGCGGUCGUGCAAGUCGCGUGUGAAAGCCCCCGGCUCAACUGGGGAGGGUCACGCGAUACUGCUCGACUCGAAGGCAGGAGAGGGAAGUGGAAUUCCCGGUGUAGUGGUGAAAUGCGUAGAUAUCGGGAGGAACACCAGUGGCGAAGGCGACUUCCUGGCCUGUUCUUGACGCUGAGGCGCGAAAGCUAGGGUAGCAAACGGG